rnacentral:rRNA from 1 species
UACGAAGGGGGCUAGCGUUGCUCGGAAUCACUGGGCGUAAAGGGUGCGUAGGCGGGUCUUUAAGUCAGGGGUGAAAUCCUGGAGCUCAACUCCAGAACUGCCUUUGAUACUGAGGAUCUUGAGUUCGGGGAGAGGUGAGUGGAACUGCGAGUGUAGAGGUGAAAUUCGUAGAUAUUCGCAAGAACACCAGUGGCGAAGGCGGCUCACUGGCCCGAUACUGACGCUGAGGCACGAAAGCGUGGGAGCAACA